AUUAAUUUAUUUCUUGCAGGCGGAAAGUGCGCGCUGCAGGGCGACGGCGCAGUCACAUGCGCCCAUCAAAGCCUCUGCUGCAAGCGGGAGGAACCUGGCAGUGACAGGCCGAAUCAAGGCCUACACAGGAAGGAGUACUGGAAGGACUGAGGAGAUCUUGUCUUAAUGUACAGACAGACCAGGAGGCAAGCUGGCAGCAGAGAGAGGCCACCUUGGGCAUAAGAGGUGAGGCCUACGCUUAACAUCACACCUCCAGCUAACCCCACCCCCAAUCUCCAGCUUCAGCCAGCUCAGUUCAUCCACCUGUUUAUCCUGCUACCCCCUACUGCCCCGGAGAUUCACCUGAGCAGGACCUGAGCCCUUGGACCAUGCUUGGACUACCUGCCAUGAUGACUCCUUUGCUGUCCCCAGUCCACCCGGCCUUGCUGCUGUUCCAGUUUCAACUGUUCUGCCUGCGGCUAUGGAACCCUAAACUGUUAAUUUUUACUCUCGAGGUGCUGUCCUGUUGCAACCUCUACAACCACUGUGAUCUCCACCCGGCACAGCCAGAAGAGGACUGGCCACCCCUCAUAGCCUGGUUCCUCUCUAGGUUUCUUCUUAGGUUUUUGCCUUUCUAGGGAGUUUUUCCUAGCCACCGUGCUUCUACAAGUGCAUUGCUUGCUGUUUGGGGUUUUAGGCUGGGGCUAUAUAAAUAGAUUUGAUAGAGGACUGAGGGUCUUCCAAAUAUUGAGAGUGUGUAAAUAGUUACCCAUGUUAUUUUGUAAAUGUAUAUAUAUAUUUUUAUCAAAUAUAUAUUUUUU
ensembl:lncRNA